CCCCUCUCAGGGUCGCACCUGGAGCGUUUCCAGUACUCUCUGUCUCGGUUACGGGAGGGAGAGUCAAGCAGAGACCUACCCAUUCCAUUCCUAGCUUGGGCAGUGGCUAGUGAGUGGAAGGCAAUCUGCUGCAAGU